rnacentral:lncRNA from 1 species
GCUGUCUACCUCUCCCACAAUGAGCUUCUCUUCCUUCAGGAGGACAGCUUUUGACUCGACAUAGAACAAUAUCCGGCAGUUUCUUCCUGACAUUGCUGGAUGAACAUUGAGGCACAUGACGAAUUGUUGUGCUGAGAAACUCUGAGAUGUUGCAUGGGUCACAGCUGCUGUGAGAGUGACUCACAGAAGCCCAGACCUGCCUGGGAGGCAGGAAGGGCAGCAUUGAGGGACUGACGGGCCCUGGGCCAUGACAAACAGAAGCAGAUGGGAUGAGGCCCACAGGGACAUUGUGUCAUUCACUGGGUGACCUGAGCAUUACCAGAGGCAGACGAGACUGCCAGGAAGAGCACUGUUCUC